UCCGUGGCGACGCGGAAUCUGAAGGAAGCGGGCGGCAAACCUCCGGUCUGAGGAACACGAACUUCAUAUAAGGCUAGGUGCAAUUGGGUGAGUUUGCAUAACAAAACAAAGCCCUUUCUGCCGAAGGUUGCAUCAAGUAAAUGGAGCAGAUAGGUGGAGGGAAAGACUGCGUU
rfam:Bacillus galactosidilyticus strain PL133 scaffold000009, whole genome shotgun sequence.